AUCCAAAAUGUAGAAGAAUCUCUUUUCAGAACUUCCUGUGUUCCCAAAGAGUGGCAGACUUAUAGGGCCGGACUGAUGGGGACUGGGCUCCCCCACCCAGGACUUGCUGUUUCUCAAGGUCAGAGAGCAAGCAAUCUGAAGACAAACGAAAAUAGGAAGACAGAAAGAAAAACAAUGAGUCAAAUUACCACUUGUUACAACCAAGGUAUGCAGAAUAUCGUCCCUGAAUGCAAAACAUGCCAAACCUUAAAGCACAUGGGCUACGGCCUCAGAAGACCACUCCGGGUGCCACUCCUAUCAGCUAAGAACAGGAAACUGAGGCUACAAAUUCACACAGGCUCAUCAAAACUGGCCAAUGGAAGACUGGAUGAAGGUUUCCUAGUCUGACGAGUCUUGAUUCAAGCUGCAAUAUAAAGAACGUGAAAGCACAGAUCCCUCCUCUGCCUUGCAUCAAUGGUUCAGGCUGUUGGCGAUAGUGUAAUGGUGUGGGGACAUUUUCUUCGUACACUUAGGAAUCAUUAGUAACAAUUGAGCAUUAUUUAAAUGUGACAGCCUACCAGAGUAUUAUCUUGUAUGCAUAAUAGGCAUUAAGAGGUUAAUGGGGUGUGUGAAGGUUUACUGCCUGGGGCAGCCUGAGCUGUAAAUAUGGCCCUGGAGAGGGAUGGAAGUGCAGGCUCAGCACACAGAUUGGCAUAGCUGGCAGUUCUGCCCACAAGAAACUUCACGAAAACCAGUAAGAAGAGAACCACAAUGGUCGAUAGAAGCAGCUGGAAAUCUGGCCGGGUAAAUAUCAUUUUUUACUACUGUCACUGGAGCAUGAGUCACUUAUCUCUCUGCCUAGAAAACUUCUUUAAAGUGUACUGGUCACCGGUCUGACAGACAUGUUAAACAUUUUUAUUGUGACCGUGCCCAUUGGUGUUCUCCCUUGGUCUUCAUCCAUAGUCUUGUUAUAUUCAGUGUGAAGCUUAUGGUAUAAGUUGAAACCCUUGCUCCACAUGUCUCCAGCUCAGCCUGAAAUUCUUUGCAUGGUGAAUAUGGUUCUUUUGCCAUAUUUCGAAGCAAAGUUCAUAUGGGCUUUGUCAUCAAUUUACUCUUUUUACCACAUCCUGGAAAGUUCUUUACUUUUCCUUGACUAGAAAACCUUUUGGUUACUUUUCAAACUGUGGAAUGGCGGGAUGCAAAGUCUUUGGAAAUAGUCUUGUACACUUUAGACUGCUUUUACUGGCUAACAUUUCUGGUCGACUCCGAUAGCAUUCUUGGCUUUGGACCAAGGAACAGGGGGGGGGGGAAGUCAUGUGAGCACACACAAGAUGAGGGCAUUUAAGUCUAAUUGCUUCCACUUUUGUAUAUUUUUGUAUAAGUUUUUAUUUUGUUAUUUUUGUGUCUUAUGCUUUUAUGUAUUGAAUAUGAAAUUGAGAUAUUCUCAUGAUAGAUGUAUAUUACAUGGUGUACUAAAAGGAAAUCAGCAGUGUAUUAAACUUAUCCCCUGUCCACAGGAAAGGGGAUAAGUGUCUGAUCGUGGGGGUCUGCGUUUUCCUGCACAGGGCCCUGGCUCCGCUGCGGCUCUCCUUUGCAGGAGGCAUGCCGGCCGAAGUAUGAUGCCGUAGCCAACACGCCUCCUCCAUAUAUCUCUAUGGGAGAGGUGGGACAGCAGCGUUUGUGCCUCCCCGCCUCUCCCAUAGAGCUGUAUGGAGGAGGCAUGUCCGUCGAGCUCAGUGAGCUUGACGCUAAGCGCAUUAGCUGGCGCAAAACACAGCAAUGCCGGGGCCCUGUUUGGGAGAUAAGUGUCUGAUCGUGGGGGGGUUAGUGCUCGGACCCCCCCCCCCCCCAGGAUCAGACACUUCUUCCCCCUGCGGAUAGGGGUUAAGUGUAUUUUCCUGCAGUUGUCCUUUAAUAUUCAGGGGUGUUAAUAUUGGCCACAACUGUAUAUUCUGCAGUAGGCCAGACUGAUAUGAGAAAGGGUCCCUACCCACUAUACCAGUCCAAAUGUAGACCUAAGGCAUUAGAAUGUUCCGAUAUCUACACCCCAACCCUGCUUAAAAAAAAAAAAAAGGUAGCUAGAAGUGUUGCUAUGCUAUCGCUGUGGCUACCUUUCUACAGCCUAAUCCUACUUAUAAAAGAUGGCAUCUCUAAUUUAUUUAGAUGUUGACAUGACAUGUCCAAUGAUACAAGGCUAUUGGGCAGAGGUGAGCAGAUUCCUAAAUGACAUUAUGGAAGUCCAGAUCUCUGUUACCCACAAGCUGUGUCUGCUGUGACUAAGAUAUCUCCCACAAUAGUCCUGAGCUCAACGCCAAUUACUACAUGUAAAAACAAAAAAUAUGGGCAUUUACAAUAUAACGGCCCUGGUCAUUUUUAUGCUACAUGGUCCCUAUUGAUCCAAUACAGUAGGGAAUACUCAUAAAAUUCCAUCGCAUGCUUGUGGAUGACUUUUUAAACCACAGAUUAUCAAUGAUAUCAUUCCAAGUUACAAUUACAGAAGAGAUUUUAACAAAGAUAGCAUUAAGUGCAGUCAUAUUGGGUUCCACAAUUUAAUUUUGGACAUCUGUCCAUCGGUUAUGUCUGGCAUUGCUACUCUGGGUCAUUUGAAUGAAAAUGAGCUGUAAUAAAACAACAUAUGGACAAGUGUUAUUUUUUUGUUGUUUAACCACCAACUUUUUUCUGCUCCAUACCUAUUCAAGUAUAGAAGUCCAUACCUAUUCAAGUAUAGAGUAUAGUAAGUUAAAAUGUUACUCAGUCAUUUAUUCAUAAGGUUACUGACACAGAAUAACCUCAGUUAAUCCUGCAAUAAACUUUAAUGGCCAAAUACUGCUAUCUGAUUGCUGUGAUAAACAGUUAUCACAUACAUUUUGUCCCAAUACAAAAAUGAGGCUGAAGUAUGAAAAACUUCUGAAAUAUCUGUAUAAAAUCCAUCUCAAUUUCCCUAAAUCAAUCUAUCCUCCUAUACCCUAACAGGGAGAGAUCUAUCAAUCAAGGCUAGAUGAAGAGAGGAAGCGGCAGGGGACUGGCCUAAUGACACCUGGUUUAGGCUGUAUGAACAUGAUGACAGAUUCCUUUUAAAUUCAAUUACCUCAAUCACCUGUUUACACAGAGAAAUGUGCAGCCGAAAGAGGCAAUCAGUUGGCGAAAGCUUGUUCGUUAGCCGAUAGUCGGACCAUGUAAGAGGCCAAGCGAUCAGGAAAACGCAUUCCUAGGAAUGAAUACUCAUUCACUCAAAAAUCGUUCAAUGUAAAAGGACCUUUAGGGCGGACUUCGGGUUCCCACCCACCUAAAAAUGCUAUCAGUCAUUGCGCAAUUCGCCCUCCUUAAUGCCUCCUCCAGGUUUUACUUGAGGUCCCAAACUCUGAUCAUAUCCCUAUAGAUUCUGUCAUAUGGAUCUUACCUAGUAAGAUUAACUCUUUAUUUGGGACUUACAUAAUAAUUUAGCCUCUCAAAUCACAUGUCCCAACUGCAUUUUGGGUAACCUCAACUUACCACUGACUACAACUACCCUCUCUUUUGCUGGUGGCAGGCCCAAGCCUCAUCAUUUAUUAUAUGUCUUAAUGUUUCAUUCGCCUUUCUUCUGCAGGCCUUUUAUACUGUUCCCGAUUCUAAAUAUAUAUUUUGCUACCUUCAAAUUUAGCACUGACCCUACCCUUCCUAUGAAAUGGAUGGAGACUUCCAAAAGUCUACUUUGUAUAAAUGACUUCCAGUUUUCUGGCAUACAAAUAAUGCAGACUAUGGGCAAAGCUCACUUUGCAGAUAAAUGAUGAUUUCAUCCCCUUUAUAGUGCCACUCAUGUAACUGUUUCAAAAAUGUGGUCAAGGCUGAUCAGAGCAGCAUAGCUUCCCACAGCCACCACAUUUACCUAUAGAUCUUACUUCAACAUCAUUUUUUUCAGAUUUUCCAUUUUACUAUAUAUUUUAUAGUAACCAUGAAAUCUUGCAGUUUUAUUUCUGGCCACUAAGACUAAAACUAAGGAGAGACUUCCUCUUCUGCACAGACCAUUUCCCUGUAAUACUUAAUUUUUGUUACACACAGGACUACAGUAAAAGAUGACAGAGAAAACACCAUUCACAAUAGCUGGAGCUCAGCAUUCCUUCUCUGUAAAUGACCCCUGAAAAGGUCACAGAGAAUGCUCAGCUAUGUAUACAGUCCAUUUGAAAUGGCCCUGCUAUAAAAAAUCUCUAAAAGCUGUUAAAAAGAAAAGAUUGCAUAUCCCAUAACGUACAAUAAAAAUUAAAAUUACAAUCAGAAAAUAGAAACAGAAGAAAACACCACCAUAUUUCAGUAUCUGGUUCAAAUUAGUUUAAAAAAAAUCCCUUUAAAAAGGGGUAUUCCGGUGGAAUUUUUUUUAUGAACUGGUGCCA